rnacentral:rRNA from 1 species
UGGGGAAUCUUGCGCAAUGGGCGAAAGCCUGACGCAGCAACGCCGCGUGCGGGAUGAAGGCCUUCGGGCUGUAAACCGCUUUCAGCAGGAACGAAAAUGACGGUACCUGCAGAAGAAGGAGCGGCCAACUACGUGCCAGCAGCCGCGGUGACACGUAGGCUCCAAGCGUUGUCCGGAUUUAUUGGGCGUAAAGAGCUCGUAGGCGGUUUAGUAAGUCGGGUGUUAAAACUCUGGGCUCAACCCGGAGAGGCCAUCCGAUACUGCUGUGACUUGAGUUCAGGAGGGGAGCGGGGAAUUCCUAGUGUAGCGGUGAAAUGCGCAGAUAUUAGGAGGAACACCGGUGGCGAAGGCGCCGCUCUGGACUGAAACUGACGCUGAGGAGCGAAAGCAUGGGUAGCAAACAGG